UGUGUGUGUGUGUGUGUGUGUGUGUGUGCAGGGAGAUCCAGUUAUACAAACAUCCAUUAUAAAAGAAACCAAUAAUAUGAGAUGUGUAAAUUAGGCACUAUUUUCUUUAUAUGAGCGCAAAAAUCUGAUGGUAUGAGCUUCAGUCCGAGGCAAGUAAAAUUACAAAGUUUAAAAUGCACGCCCUCCUGCACCCUCCUGUUAACACAUCCAGGCUGUAUGGUGAUGUACAAUGAUUCAGAUAUGCAAAGAUGAGUUGUGAGUGCUGGAUCAUGCACCUGUCCCUUGUCCCCUACCUACCAUUCAUUCUUCCUGCCAGUCCUCUUUUAAACUGAACUCAAUGUCUCUCAGACUCCCACCCUUACAGUCUUACUGCUCAUUAUUAUACAUACACUCUAUCAUCAUUUUACUUGCAAACAUAUUUACAAUACCAUACAAGUACAGUGUACACUUGAAACUUUUAAGUGUUAAAGGAAAUCUGGAAGGGGAGAGAGAGACAAAUAGAUAAAAAGAUAGAGUGUAUAUUGGAGGCUGUGAGUGUUUUCGGUUUUCUUUGAUUUAUUUGGUUCCAUAACCUUGCUUGUGUGUUUCCAGCCUGAUUUGUGAUUUGUAGGUGUUAAUGAGUAUUCUGGAAGGAGGAGAGAGGAAUAGAGUAUCGUGUUUUUCAACGUCAUUUUAUCCCGUUCUCUUGGCUUGGCGAGGAAAGCCACACACUACUGAUGCACCAGCCCUUACAAACACAAAUGCUCCCAACUCCCAGAGAGAGAGAGAGAGAGAGAGAGAGCUAUUUAUGUAUAUUAUUGUAACGCUGAAGGACAAUAUGUUAGCUAUUUAUAAUGAUGGAGGCUUUGUAGAACACCUCUCCUUGGCAGAAUGAAGCAUGACAUUUUAAUGAACAAUAAAACAGUAAGCUGAAAUGAAGGAUAAUCCAGCAAAAUAAUAUAGUAUUGCUACCAAGCUGGUCUUCUGCUGUUAUCCCGGCAGGGUCUCGGUAGGAUGGAAGCCAAAAGCCUUAGUUUAGGUUGUGUUCGGUUGGAAUAAGGGUAGGUGAGAAUUGUGCCUCAUGAUUAAAAGUUUAUGGAAAGUUGUUGGAAUAGAAUAGUUUUGUGUUUAUAUUAAUUUGAUAUUUGUUUUUGUUUAUUUUAAAUGAUUUUUGUUUAUUUUAAAUGAAAACUUUACCUAAUGUAACUUUACCUAAACUAACUUAACCUUUACUUAUUGUAAGUUUACCUAACCUUAUCUAUUAUAACUUUAUCUAACCUAACCUUGCCUUAAUUCACUUUAAUCUUACCUAAUCUAACAUUACCUUACCCAAUAUAAUUUUAUCUAACCUCAUACCUUACCUCACAUAACCUAACCUUACCUAAUCCACCUUUUUUUCAUCCAAUAUUAAAUGAACACUCUUGGAUCCCUUAAAAACCUUCUUUAAACAUUUUUUGAUCCCUUAAAUCACCUUUAAACACACUUUGAAUCCACAAAGGUAUUAGGGGUGGAGUUGCUGUGAAGCUUAUAGGAUGAGUGAUAUCCAUAAUGAAUGAUUUUUCAGCAAGAUAAGAAGUGUGGGUGUUUAGUGACAACUUACAAGAGGUUGACACUGAAAUACAAGAGGUGAUGUGUGGGGGUUUUGUGCCCUCAGUUUGUUGCAACCCUCACCUGCUUGAAUCAUUAUUCAGAGGCUCCUAAUGCAUGUGUACCCUCCAGUAGUGUCAUCAACUGUUCCAUCCAUAAAAGCAGAGUUCUAGAUGCUGAUAAAACUAAUGAAAAGCAAUCUGAGGUGGAAAGCAAAAGCUUAGCUUCAGCCUGUGUUCUCUCUCCUUACUAUGACAAGAUUGUUGGCUGUAGAUUUGGGUUAGUCAGCUUAAAGGUUAAGAGAUCUUUACAAUGCAAGUCAUGCUGCAGUGCUUUAUUUAACCAACGGCUGGAUACAACUCACAGAUUAAUCUCAGUUGAAAAUAAAGGCUGCCUAUCUUCUCCAUCCAGAGAUGCUUUUGCUUUUUGUCUUAUGUGUUUGAGAAAAUUCAGAUGAUUUGAAAGGAAGUUAGGAUUGCAAAUUCCUUGGAUGUUUUGGAUGGAAAGUAGGACUGGAAACUCCUAUGAUACUUUGAAAUGGAAGUGGAUCUGGAAAUCCCAUCUUAUGCCAUAGUUGCCUGAUAAAAUGAGUAAGGAAAUGAAAAUGUGGAUUUGUUUUGUUAGGUAAGAAUCUAUAUUAAAAAGUUUUAUAUUCUGAUUUUUGGGUUUUUGCUUUUUCCUCCUGUGAGAUGUUUUCCACCCAUGAAGUUGAGGCCUAUACUUGAUAGGAUGCAAGAAAUGGAGAGGUUAUCCCAAUGAUGGAGAGAGUAUUGGAGGAAUUUAGAGAGGAAUGUGGAAGUACAGCAGGACUGAAGAGAACUAGAUGUAAUUCAUUGGUGUUAUUAAUUGUUGGAGGAAUUUAGAGAGAAGUGUGGAAACAAAGAAAGACUGAAGAAGACUCGUUUUAAUGUUGUGUUGUUGGAGGCAGAAGAGGAGCACCAGGCCAAAGUAGGCGGGUGCAAAACACAUGGAGGAUGUGGUGGACACCUUUGUGAAGAAUGAGAUCUAAGACCUGGACGUGACCAUCAACACUUUGGAGGAGUGUCAGUGGUGCAUCCCUCAGUGUUGCAUCCUCACCUGUGUGUUGUCAAGCUCAUUGCAGUGUUGUGUAGUGUGAGCAACAUUGCAGCUACAGUUGUCUCGGCCAACAAUAUGUCCACCUCCCUGCCAGGCAAGUUUGUCUGGGUGCUGUGUAUUGACUAAAGAUGUCUUGGCUAUCGUCACCUCAUAUCUGUUGUAAACACAGGGACUUAGUCUCACAUUCCUAUUUACUGAUACUUAUACUCAAGUAUAUGUUUGUUUUCAAAUGUUUUAAUCAGCCAUGUUAACUUUUCAUCCUGCCUUUGAGUGCAACUUGUUGUACCUUUGAGUGUGGCAUGUGGUGGGUGGAGCACCCAAAGCUGCCAGAUCUUGGAGGGACACCACUGGAGUCACUCCUGUCAGUGUCAGUACAGACCUGGGUUAUUACCAUUGCCCACACACACACACACACUUAGGUGCAACUCAACUCCCAUAAUGAUGACCAUGCAUCCGUCCAUUGGCCCAACAGCUGACACAGAUGAGCAGAGAGGAAUGUGGAGGCGUGUGUCUUGGAGUGGCAGCUGAUAAUCAUGGUGGUGAUAAGCACAUGGAAGCUAACAAAACUCACUGACUCCCGCAGAAGGCCACGAGACACUCUGCCGUGGGUUCCGAGUGACAGGUGUCUUGAUGGGGUGCACAGACGACAUGUGCCAGGACCUGUGGCACAUGAAUGACAGAUCUGACACCUUGGAUGCCAGCUUGAUGAUGAUGAUGAUGUCACUGCAGACUACAACACAGGGCUGGGCAGCCUAGAAGACACCACUGCCAUCUUCACCACCACCACUACUGCCAGUGCCAUCACUGUGGAGCCUGAGGAGGGGUCAGGAGUGGGAGCCUCCACCACCCUCCUGAUAUCACCAUGGCCAGUGUGUCUCCUGCUGGUGUGGAUGAAGUGGAGGUGGGGAAGAAAGAGCAGAAGUAGGAAGGCAGAGUUUGUUGGUUGUUUGGUUGAAUUUUAGGGUGAAACUUUAGUAUGAGUAGUGGCAAGACAACUCAAGGCCAAUCAAAAUCCAUUCAGGUUUCAGUGAUCAUCUUUUUUUUAUCAUGUUGGAUUUCACUCACGCCAUUCACUGUGUAAGCUAAAAAGAAACUGCAUGGAAAUCCUUGUAAAACAAGUAUAAGCUGAGCUUCUCUGGUGGCUGAGACAACUGGCACACACGCAGAUCUGAGGGUCCCAGCAUGCCCUGCCUCCCUACCCAAGGAAGGUAAAGAUUGUGGAGGUGGUAUCCAGGGACAGCUUGCAGAAUGAGGAGACUUUGAAGAUAGAGCUGAUCAACAAGUUGAUGAGAGCUGGACACCAGGCAGUGGAAAUGACCAGGUCAGUGAGUGGGUCACAUAAGCAAGGGAGACAUUAAGUUCCAUUAUCUCACUCAAAAAAUACCCUACACAAUUUGGUAGAAUUUCACUCUUUCACCAGUCUUUCUAUUCCUGAUGAAACAAUUUUUUUUCUGAUAGUUUUUAGCCUGUUUUGAAUUAAUCUGCUUAUUUUUUCCUGCAAAUCACUAGUUUUUAUUUUUUACUCCCCCAACCCCCUUCCCUCGGAAACUAAUGAUUUGAGAUAAAAACAUAAAGCAGAUUCAUAUGAAACAGACUGAUAUCUACCAGAAAGAAAUAGUUUCAUCCUCACAAAUAAGUAACAGCAGUAACACUCACUUGUAAUGUCCCCCAAGAGGACUGGCUGCCACUUGUCCAUGGCUGCCAACCAACAGCAUCACCUAACCUAAUAAUAAUUAAAUUCAACUAAUGUAAGUUCUUUGUAAGUUCCUAAUGAUCAUCAAUAGAAUUGUUAUAAAAAUAACACUGUACUUUGGAUUCUAAUAGUACUGUGGUUCUUGACAAAUUUAGGACUGAAAUAAGUAGGGGGGAUAAGUGAGAGGUCUGAAAAUGCCUAAGACUUGCAAUGCCUUGUCUCUACCUAACCAUGUUAGAAUAUUCUAAUUGUUUGCAGGGGAAGUUUGAAUCCAGCACUGAGCAACUCUGUCAGCACAAACACUAGCAUAAAGAUGGUGAGCUUUGUUGACAAAAGAAAAGAGGAAUUAAAAUAUAGAUAAUGACAAGGAUAGGGAUUAACAAGCUGAGAUGAAAGACACCAGCGAUUGGAGAAUUUCAGUUCAUGGAGUGUAUUAGUGACAUGAGUGAGCAUGGUGAAAGAAAUAUUCCAAAGAAAGAUAGUGGAAAAUAAGUGAGAAAACAUGCUAGGAGGGGGAGAGAGAGAGAGAGAGACACCUUACUGUAAAUAUGGUAAAAGGGUGAGGGAAGGUAGGAGGGAAAAUAACAAGAAAGAUAAGAGGGAACAGAUAAUGAAUGAGGGGCAGUGGGGGUUGGCAUGCCAGUGAAGAGAUAGACAAACAUUCAUUAUGAGGGAAGCAAAGUUUAUGGAGGUUGUUUCAUUUUGAGCAGCCUGGCCUGGCCCAACUAUAAUGCUAUUCAGACACUAAUAUCUCCAGAACUAUGGCCAAUCAUAAUGAAAUUACCACCAUAUGAUAGCACAAUUCUAUCAACUUUAUAUGAUAUAGCUUUCAUCUCUUCUAUUGGGUGAAGUGGAUGGGUAACUUGCAAAAAGUAGGAGGGUGUCAAAAAUGGUAUUUCUCAAAAAUUACUCAAUUUUUGUUUUAAUGAAAUGUAAGAGAGUGACUCAGAAAACUGAGUCACUUUACAAAAAGUUUUGUACUGUAUUUUGUGCAUGUGCAGUAGUGUUGCAAAUUUAACAUGCUUUUUCAUUAUAACUUUUAUUACUCAUUAACAACAAAAUAUGAACUUGAUUAGUUAAUUAGUUAAAAAGUUGGAAUUUUGACUUUGCGCAUGCUCAUUGCUACUUGAAAGUUGACAUGAGGAAUUUUUAUUAAAAUUAUAACAUGACACCUCUUACAUUUCAUUAAAAUUGGUUGAAUAGUUUUUGAGAAAUCUCAUUUUUGACAUCCUUCUACUUUUUGCAAGUUACCCAAUUGAUUUCACCCAACAGAAGAGAUGAAAGCUUAAUCAUAUCAAAUUGAUAGAGUUGUGCUAUCAUAUGGUGUUAAUUUUGUUAUGAUCGGCCACGUAGUUCCAGAGAUAUUAGUGUUUGAACAGCAUUAUGGUUGGGCCAGGCCAGGCCGCUCAAAAUGAAACAACCUCCAUAGUAAACUUUGCUUCACUCAUAAUGAAUAAGUGUCUAGACUGUUUGUCCAUCUCUUUACUGGCAUGCCAACCCCCACUGCCCCUCAUUCAUUAUGUUCCCUCUUAUCUUUCUUGUUAUUUUGCCACCUCCCUUCCUUCACUCUUUUCCUAUAUUUACAGUAAGUUUCUCUCCCUCUCCCUCUCAAUGUAUGUCAUUGCCUCUCAUAUGAGAGAGAGAGAGAGAGAGAGAGAGAGAGAGAGAGAGAGAGAGAGAGAGAGAGAGAGAGAGAGAGAGAGAGAGAGAGAGAGAGAGAGAGAGAGAGAGAGAGAGAGAGAGA